rnacentral:rRNA from 1 species
UACGAAGGGUGCAAGCGUUGUCCGGAAUUAUUGGGCGUAAAGAGCGUGUAGGCGGCCCGAUUAGUCCGCUGUGAAAGUCCAGGGCUCAACCCUGGAAUGCCGGUGGAUACUGUCGGGCUAGAGUCCGGAAGGGGCGAGUGGAAUCCUGGUGUAGCGGUGAAAUGCGCAGAUAUCAGGAGGAACACCGAUGGCGAAGGCAGGUCUCUGGGCCACUACUGACGCUGAGAAGCGAAAGCAUGGGGAGCGAACAGG